rnacentral:rRNA from 1 species
ACCCGCUGAACUUAAGCAUAUCAAUAAGCGGAGGAAAAGAAACCAACAGGGAUUGCCCCAGUAACGGCGAGUGAAGCGGCAACAGCUCAAAUUUGAAAUCUGGCCCUCGGGUCCGAGUUGUAAUUUGUAGAGGAUGCUUUUGGCGCGGUGCCUUCCGAGUUCCCUGGAACGGGACGCCAUAGAGGGUGAGAGCCCCGUCUGGUUGGAUGCCAAGCCUCUGUAAAGCUCCUUCGACGAGUCGAGUAGUUUGGGAAUGCUGCUCUAAAUGGGAGGUAUAUGUCUUCUAAAGCUAAAUACCGGCCAGAGACCGAUAGCGCACAAGUAGAGUGAUCGAAAGAUGAAAAGCACUUUGAAAAGAGGGUUAAAUAGUACGUGAAAUUGUUGAAAGGGAAGCGUUUAUGACCAGACUUGGGCCUGGCUGAUCAUCCGGUGUUCUCACCGGUGCACUCUGCCGGCUCAGGCCAGCAUCAGUUCGUAGCGGGGGAUAAAGGCGGCGGGAACGUGGCUCCCUCGGGAGUGUUAUAGCCCGCCGUGUAAUACCCUGCGUCGGACUGAGGUUCGCGCUUCUGCAAGGAUGCUGGCGUAAUGGUCAUCAACGACCCGUCUUGAAACACGGACCAAGGGGUUGUUUUUGUUUGGGGGUGUUUGGGGGUCCAACCCCUACGCGUAAAAAAAAAGAA